AUGAGGACACCGUCGCAGUGUGGCCUCGCCGGUGGCUGCACGCAUCUCCCCGGACCAGAGGGGAUAACGACGCAAGCAAGGCGGCGGCGCCGGUGCCUAGCAGACACCGGAUCUGGCCGCCCCGGGAAGCGAAAUCCCGACGGCGCGCGUGCGCGUGCCACCGGCGAUCCAGAAGCAACCGAAUGGAGGGACUGGGCCAGCCUGACAUCGGUGUUCGUCGAGGACAUUGCCGGCCGGCUGCUCUCCGUCGACGUGUCCGAGUACCUGCGCUUCAGGGCCGUGUGCGCGCCCUGCCUCGAGCUGACGGACGACCCUCGCACGGGCGGCGUCCUAGACGGCCGGUUCCGGCCCCGCAACUGGAUCCCUCUACGCAAGCAGGCGCCGACCCCAGGCGUCUCCGCCUCAGGAACACAAUUACACAACCACCAACGCCCGCGUCGGGCUGGACCUCCCAGUGUUGGCAGCCAGCCACCUCCUCAGUGUCCUCGACGGCCUCCUCGUCCUCUCCGACAAGGGCACAAGCGCCGUCCGCCUCCUCCACCCGCUCACCGGCGCGCUAGCCGAGUUCCCCGUCAUCGCCAACGUGCGGGACCGGGGCGGCGCCCGGGUCGCCAUGGACGUGUUCAGGUCCCGGUUCCCCGGCCUCGGCCCCGAGCCGCCGAAUGGAUACGACAUCGACUACCCCGCCUUCAACACGGUGUUCACCAGCGCCGGCGUAGACGAGUCCACCUCGCCGCCGACCCUCCAGCUCCCGGUGAGAGACGAGGCGUGGCUGGUCCUACUCGCCAAGCCUGGUGA
rnacentral:rRNA from 1 species